rnacentral:lncRNA from 1 species
UAGAAACCCAGUUUCUAAAAAAAAAACAAAGAAAAAUCCUCUGAAGAGGAUCCCUGGUCCUCUGAGCUCCGGCGUUUAGCCGAUCAGCUCUGGUCAUCGGACCUCCGCGCUGAGAUCCACGCGCCGCCACCGACUCCGCCACCACGAUGGUCGGAACUUGAAAAGUUUCGCUUUUCAAGGUGACUCUCCAGGUAUACUCUCUCUAUCUAUUUAAUAUAUUAUAUGCAUAAACUCAUGAUCAAGAGAAUAAAACGGAAAUAAAAAUAUGUCACCUUUGUCUUCUGUAAAAGAUCUCUGGUAUAUUAUUGCAAAAAAAAACUCUAUGUACAAUAUUUUUGGUCUCUACCUCGUGUGUGUUUUUACAGAUUAAAAAGAAGGCUUUAUAGCCUCUACUACUACAAGUUUUGGAAAGAAAUCUUUGAUUUCUUUCCGUAUUUGCUUCGCAUGUCUGCUGUGAUUUUCUUUCCUUUUCUUGCAAGUACUUGCGAAAAAUCCAGCAAUGGCAAAGGCUUGACGAUGGUCCACUGGUGGCGUUGAUCUCGGCGUGACUUGGGGCCUGGAAUCAUGACCUUGACGGGGUAGCUGGAAUAGCAGGAGCUGAAGAGUCAUGAGGCUUGGCUUCUGGAACCUUCUGUUUGCAGCGCAAGGAGAAAGGCAGAAACCCUAGGGUUUCAUGCCUUGGUGUAACAAGCUGGGCCACUUGGGCCCGUUUUGUCCUGGGUCCACUUGGGUCUGUUGUAAUGGGUCUUAGUUUUAGUGUAUCUGGGUAGGAUGUAAUAGUGGGCCUGCUGGUUAUUGUAACUGGGUAAGGUCUCUUGUAUUUGGGCCUGCCGUUUAGGCUUUUGUAUUUGGGUAAAGGACUGUUAAGAGACUUUAUAUUUUGAAAUUUUGGAUUAUGCCUUGGCUUCCAAUGGGCCGGGAAAAAUUGAGGUAUUACAAUAGCAAUCAAAAACAGCAAGAAAUCAAAAGAGGUGAUUUACUCUUUUUUUUUCAAAAGCUUAUCAUAGCAUUUCGUUUUUUUUUCUUGAUUGUUCUUCUAUUUCUUUUUAUUUCUUCAUUUACAAAGAAGAAAAUAAUAAAGGAAGAAGAUAAAGGGG